UGGGGAAUAUUGGACAAUGGGCGCAAGCCUGAUCCAGCCAUGCCGCGUGAGUGAUGAAGGCCCUAGGGUUGUAAAGCUCUUUCACCGGUGAAGAUAAUGACGGUAACCGGAGAAGAAGCCCCGGCUAACUUCGUGCCAGCAGCCGCGGUAAUACGAAGGGGGCUAGCGUUGUUCGGAUUUACUGGGCGUAAAGCGCACGUAGGCGGACUUUUAAGUCAGGGGUGAAAUCCCGGGGCUCAACCCCGGAACUGCCUUUGAUACUGGAAGUCUUGAGUAUGGUAGAGGUGAGUGGAAUUCCGAGUGUAGAGGUGAAAUUCGUAGAUAUUCGGGGGAACACCAGUGGCGAAGGCGGCUCACUGGACCAUUACUGACGCUGGGGUGCGAAAGCGUGGGGAGCAAACAGG
rnacentral:rRNA from 1 species